CCUCUGCAGGCACUGCAUACACAUGGUACACAGUGCAGAUGCAUCAUUCUUUAGCCUGUACUAGCUCCCACUGUCCUCACUGUGGUGUGGCAGGCAGUUACUCUGCUUUGCCCACUCCUCGAGGACUUCUAGACCAUGCCAUCCAAAGUGCCUCUUUCAAUUUCUUUUUGAACUUAACAACUUUGUUUAUUCUAAGUCCUCAAUAAAAGUUGUACAUUUUUGUUUCCUUUUCUUAACAUAAAGGAAGCAAGUAACACAUUUGCCAAGAGUUCUUCCCAUGAAUGUGUGUGCACUCUGACUGGUUGUCACACAAAAACAUGUUUCUGCCUUUUUUCAAGGCUUUGUGGCCCCAAGCUAUAAAUACCACACACAAGUAAAAAUGUUAAGUUACACAGUUAAGAAGAAGUGGAGUAAAUUAGGAUAUCGUUAAUAUCAUGUUGUUCCUAGAAAUCCUUGGGUAUAUAAAGAUAAAAGAUACUUUAUUAUUAAGUAUAGAAUCACUUCUAUUAUACAGAUAGAAAAUUAAAGGUUAUCUUAUGGUAUGAACUGCUUAUAUCUCAGUAAAAUAAAAAAAUUUCCAAGUGUGAAAAACACCUGGUAAACAUGAAGAUAUGGAUCAAACACUUGUCUCCAAACUAAAAAUUAGCAUUACUAAUCAUUGUGAAUUCCCAUGAAAUAAUAAACCUUUUGGUUAGGGACUAAAUGGUAACGUGGCACUCCUGGUAUUGAUCCAGUUAGGACAACUAGCAGAUAGAUUGCUAGUGACAUAGACCAACCAAAUAACAGCAAACGGUUUAACAAGGCCAGAGUGACCACAAUAACAAUAAAACCCAGCCACUGUGAGAGGGAGGGAACCUCAGGUGCUGCUGAUAAACUAAACCACUCAAGGUCUACAGAAGCAAGGCUUCUAAGAUGCCAGCUAAGGUACAGAGGCAGUGGCAACCCCUCUGAGGGGAGGGGGUCCAACGACCAUGUCACAGGGUCGCAUAUCAGAUAUUUACAUGAUAAUUCAUGACAGUAGUAAGAUUACAGUAGCAAUGAAAUAGCAUUAUGGCUGGGGGUUGGCACAGCAUGCGGACCUGUAUUAGAGGGCCACAGCAGUAGGAAGGCUGGGAACCAUUGGGCAAAGGGUGCGCCGCUCUGCCCACUGUGAUCUUCCCCCCUCUCUCAAAAUGCUUUCAAUUUUGUGUAGCUAAGAAUAUGUCAAUAGGUACAAAUAAAGUUGUGUUUCCAUCCUUCACUCUUCUCUGUUUGGACAGCUAUGUCCCCUUUCACUGAGAUUUUGAAAACAGAGUCCAUUUGUGGGAGAGUAACUUAACAGGGACACAUCACUAAGCACUACCGACCUUCUCUCUGGAGAAUUUAUGUAGAUUUAUACAUUAUAUUCUCUCUUUAUCAAUCUGCUUAUUUAGGAUAUGUUUUGGCCUUUAAAAACACCACACUGCUACAGUUCAAAGAGAAAAUAGGCUUGCUGAAUUAUAAUAUGAAAAAUCAAAGCACUCCAUACAGGAUGAAAAACAAGCCCUUACCUUACGAUUUGACAAAAAGCAGGUUAAGCUAAACAGCAUUUUAUUCAAAUGAGAUACAAUUCUGCUCUUUAAACUUACAUUCUUCCAGCACGCCAUUAAUAACAGUGCAGAGAACAAUUCAACUAAACAAUUUUCAGAGCUCCUUUGUGCUAAUAUCUUCAGCUGUGAUCAAUAUAACCAUAUGCACUAUGCUGAAUUAUGCAUUUCAGCUAAAGAUAGAAAGGAACGUUCAAAAGCAAGCCCUUAAACACAUGCAGUUCAUUUAAGCAUUAACCAAAUGCAAACUGCAUUUACAUAUCCUUCCCCCACAGAUUCACACAAUCUGAAACUAAUUUGUACCUUGAAUAAAGAGGUGAAUAUUCUCUAAAAAUAAUUUGCCCGUUAGAUGAAUGUCUACGAGAAGCCAGAGAAGCAUCUUCUGGCGACCGGCACUUGAAUCAAGAGAAGGCAAAUGUGUGAGGGGAGUUCAAAGAAAAGUGAAACCAUUUCAAAAUCUGCACCACAAAAAGAAACUUUCUGGAUAGUCAAAGAUUUCCUUAAAUAGAUAAUUUCAAAUUUUUGUUUCUUUCCCUAGGAAAAUGAUUAAAAGCUAGAAAAGUUAUUUUUAUCAUUAUUACAAGCAUAGUUAUUUAACUUUUUUCUUAGAAUUCAUUUUAAUAGAUUUUAUAAAUAAAGACCAAAUCCUUAUAUUUGUAAAUUUAAACUAUUCAGAGAAAAUAACUGGGAAAUCCCAGUUCCUGCAACUUUUACUUAGAAAGUAACUAGAUAAAUGUGCUAAGAGUUUUUUUAUGUAGGAUGAUGUGACUUGUGAUGCCAACAUUAUUUCUUUACUCUUCACCAUCAAUGACUGCUGCAUCAUCUCCUGGACAUUCACACACUGAGAAACCGCAGCAUGCAUUGUCAACAGGGAGAGCAUAGAUUGAAAUUCAUACCAGAGGACUGACUGACUUCAUCACACAAACAGUCUGGAGAAACUGUCCUGCAGCAAAAGCCUGGGGCCCCGGAGCUCACCUCCUCUACUCUCCUUUCUGAAAACCUCACCGAGUGCAGCUGCUUCUCAAGGCUGCAGCACUUCAGACGCUGCUCCUUAAGCUGCUUGUUCAGCUCAUCUCCAUUGGCCAUCAAGGCAUCAUGGCUGAUCCUGAGUGUUCUUUGCUUCUGCAAAACAGAGAGAAAACUUAAGCAUUUUUAACAUCAGACUCUGAAAAGUUCAUUACAAGUCUAUCCAUGGCUUUACCCUGGACAUUUACAUUGCACAAUUUAUUUUUCAAGUAAUAAACAACAUACGUGUGAUACAAAGAACGAGAAGGUCACUUGGCCAUCACACAAUGCAAAUGGUCUCCCCUUUUAUUUGCCCUUAGGUUUUGACUAGUUGACAGUAACCAGUAAGUCAAAUGGUUUCAGUAAUUUUUUUCCCCUUUUUACUAUGGCUAUAGCGGUUGGGCAUGCUGUCUAAAAAAUGUUUCAGUAUGGGUCAAAAACUGCUGAUCACAGAUAUGGAAAUGGGAAGGAUUUGCCAUCAGAGAAUAAAUAAACAACACUGACUGACAUAGGAACACAUCUGCGGGAGGACGAUGUUCUAACAGAGAGAACGAUGCACGGUAAAACACUCAGACGGACUCUGACAGAUGUACAACAAUUUCUAUGAGCUACAUUAUGCAUGGCUGACUGCUAGUGUGACUGGUAUCUGAAGCACACAAAAGAAAACAUUUCCAAUCUGUAUCAUAUUUUUCACUGGGAGUGUUCUAAGGCGCUGAUGAACUAGAAAAAGGAAGAUGGAUGUGGCAGAAGGAUUGUUUCUGAGACCAUGACAUGAUGAAGAAUUCAAGUCUCAAAAAAGCACAGGAAAGCCAGAGCUGAAGUCCAUGUAUCAAAUACUCCCAAACAUUCCAGCCAUUCCUCUUAAUGCUCUGUCCUCCCCAAAAGGGGCGAACCAGAAUCUAAAAUAUUAUCUGUAGCUUCUUGGGAAUAAAAUUUUGUCU